rnacentral:lncRNA from 1 species
ACAAGAGUCCCCGCCCCUUUCGGUGCGUGACGGUGGAGGAACCGAGGGCUCGCGUCCUCUGUGCUGGCGUCCGCCACCCCUAAGUCCAACGCAAAGAACGGGAAGAAACAGAUCUGGAGUUCUUGCUCGACAGGGUAGUGCCGCUGCCACCGGCCCGUCCUAGCGCCAUGCGUAAACCUGGGGCUCGUUGUGAACGGUGCCGCUGCGUGCGGCCCCUCUCGCCAGGCACGGGCCUCGCCACUUCUCAGGGGUCGUCUCACCGUCCUGCUCAGGCUUUUGAGGAUUGAAGCGCCUAAGCCGCGCCCUUUGGCAAGGCACCGCCCACUGAGGCCUCGGCCAGACACUCCGUCCAGUCUUUGAGGCACCCGCUCUGGGAGCUCCAAAGGGAGAGGGCAAGGCCAGGGUUUGAGACUGAGGCCGUGACACGGAAAACACGCUUCCUCGUUCUGAUGCCAGCAGCUUGCAGAUCGUUAAUGCUGGAGCGGGAGGCAAGAAUGUCACAGACCUUUUCCGGGUGUUUGUCAAGAGCUAGAAGAGAGGAGCUGAGAAGAACUGACAAGAGCAGGUUGAGUGGCCCAUAUAUGCCCAGCGGAGGGGAUUUAGAAGAAAAGAAUGAGAUGGCGGCCCUCCAGCAUUCAGUCUGGUGGGAAAGAGAGACAAACCAAGAAAUCCUUAUAGCAAGACUCCAGGGUCUAUCAAGCCAUGGAGGAAAGCUCUUGUGUAUACGGCCAGCCCAACACCAUUUGGAACCUCCUUCCUACAUGAAAACCGACAGCCCUUAAACAACCGAAUGCAGCCUCUCUUAUAAGAAGCUGGUGGAUAGUCCCUUGGUCUUCCACGUGUUGGCAUCUCAUCAAUAAGAGGUGGUAACAAACUCAUCUCCAGCUGGGGUCUCUCGGACAACAACUCUAAUGGAUAUUUUUAAUUCAUAUGGAAAUAAAUAAUUCUGGCCACUUCAGGAAAAGCAGUUUGUGAUAAAAUUUGCCUCCUCCCUCUCUCUCCUUUUCUCUCCAGUUAAUUUCCGUGACCUACUUCUCCUUUACUAAGUAGUUAUCCUCUUCUGCAUUUGAACUCACGGGUUGUCUAAAAGCUUGUUUACUGUCGUCAUUGCUGGUUGCUUUUGCUUUGUUGUCAUUUUAAUGAGUUCACAUGGUAGAAGUGGUGGGGAAAGUGAGGUCACGUGCUUGAGGGAAGGUGGAUCAAGGUGGCCAUGCACAAGUGGGGCUCAUUUGUAAAACUUUUUUAAAGGACCAUUUCUAACUCUCAAAUAUUUAGUUUUCAAAUCUACCCCCCCCCCCCAAUAUUUUGUUUACUUCAGAUUAAAAGUAGGAUAUAUCUGGGUCAAAGUCUGCACUACAUUAUCUUAAUUAUUGUAGCAAGGUGUUAGACUGACUUUGGAACAGAAGGAAAACCUAGAGGAAAAAACACUUUGCAAGAUAUGACUUUUAUCACCUCCCACUACAAAUAAAAUGAAAGGGAGUUUCCAUUUGUAUGGAACCCAGAAAACAAUGUUUUUGCUGCCUCGGGGAUCUUCUAAAGAUUUUUGUAAGAUAUAAAGAUAACAUUUGUUCAUCAUAUACAAUUUGUUACUGGAGAAAAAUGUACAAAAGAAAAAUGGAAUCACUUAUAAUUAUAUCACAUUUAGGGAGUCACCAUUCACAUUUUAGAUCCUGCCCUAAUAAACUUUUUAAAAUACAUAAAUAAUAUCAUCUAAGGCAUAAUUGUAUAUUUUUCAAUUUAACAUUGC